AUUGAACGCUGGCGGAAUGCUUUACACAUGCAAGUCGAACGGUAGAGGGGGCAACCCCCUUGAGAGUGGCGAACGGGUGAGUAAUAUAUCGGAACGUGCCCAGUCGUGGGGAUAACGUAGCGAAAGUUACGCUAAUACCGCAUACGAUCUAAGGAUGAAAGCGGGGGACUCGCAAGAGCCUCGCGCGAUUGGAGCGGCCGAUAUCAGAUUAGGUAGUUGGUGGGGUAAAGGCUCACCAAGCCAACGAUCUGUAGCUGGUUUGAGAGAACGACCAGCCACACUGGAACUGAGACACGGUCCAGACUCCUACGGGAGGCAGCAGUGGGGAAUUUUGGACAAUGGGGGCAACCCUGAUCCAGCAAUGCCGCGUGAGUGAAGAAGGCCU
rnacentral:rRNA from 1 species